AAUAAGUACAGUUUUACACUAUUUACUUUUAACGUUUGACCGUUUGUUUUAUUUAAAAAAUUUUUAUUGUUAGUAUUUUUAUUGCUAUUAGAUGAUAAAACAUGAAUAGUACUUUAUAUGUGACUAAAUAUUUUUAAAUAAGACGGACGGUCAAACGUUGGGCACGAAUAUUCACGGCUGCACUUAUU
rfam:Oryza glaberrima chromosome 11 Oglab11_unplaced125_8, whole genome shotgun sequence.